rnacentral:lncRNA from 1 species
CACCCAAAACAAACCCUAAAGGCUAAAAUCAAAAUCAAAAUCAAAUCACCCACCCAAAUACACGGCAAUCACGAUCAACACUGCUCACCAGUAAUAGUGUCACAGUUGAAUAACUUGUACUCAUAGUGCAACACCUUCUACCGUACGACAGCCAUUAUCUUCUUCUCACCGCGCGAAAGCCAAUUGCUUAUUUUCACCGUGAGACAACUUCAACUCACAGGCCACCGUGCAAUAGCUUCUGCUCUGCUCGCCAACCACUGUGCAAUAGCUUUUGUUCUGCUCCCCAGCCACAAUGCGACAACUUCUACUUUGCUCACCAGCCACUGUGUGCCAAUAGGUAUGUCAGGCCUUGCUUCAAUUUUCUACAAUUAGUUAGUGUGUGAAUGAGAGAAAGCAAAAUUUUGGCUAAGUGUUGGCUUCUUUUGAGGGAAAUGUAAUGAUGUCUGAAAUUGUGUGUAUUAUUCCUCAAAUUGUCAGUAAAGAUAUAUGCAUGCAUGCUACUCUAUGUCCAUAGGCUUUUUAUUCCUAUUAUAUUUUAAUCAUUGUUGUGUGUUGUCCUUUGAAAAGUGUACUUGAUUAGUCCAACUAAUCGACAGGUAAGUGGUGUUAUCAUCCAUGGAUAAUAUUAUAGGGCACAAGAAUAAAGGGUAGGAAGCCGUAUACCAAAUUAAAUUUCUUGUUUAUAAAGAAGAGAUAUUUAAUUGAAAAAAUACUGAUUAUCAUCAAUAAUUUUUUUACAAGCAUUUAAUUUAUAAUAUGAAUCUAAAUAAGCGAGUGUAAAUAUGCAUAUGCAUAUGUGGCAAGAAAUGUUGGCCAAUCACUUGAAAUUAAAUUGGAUGAUUUACAAAUAUGGCUACCGAUUGUGUUUAUAACAUGGCUACUGAAUGUAUGUUAGGCAGUGGUUAUAAAUUGCAUGAUUUACAAAUAUAGUUGUUGAUUAUGUUUAUAAUAUGGCUACCGAUUGUAUGUUAGACAGUGGCUAUAUUUAGAUUUUAUUUUGACAUUAUGAUUGUUCUAAUUUUGUAGGAUGGUUGACAAUGUUGGUGAAGUGCAAAAGGCUAAUAAUGAAGUGUAAGAAAUUAGUGAUGAAGUACAACAACUCAGUAGUGAAGAAGAGGUCAGGGGGAGUUAAAAAAGAAAAAUUGAGUUGAGAUCAUUUGUGUGGAAGCAUUUUUCGAAGCUACUUGGAGGACAAAGAGCUAAGUGUCAUUAUUGCGGCAAAAGUUAUACAGCCCAUAGUACUAAUUCUGGAACAAACAAUUUGAAAACUCAUUUGGGUAGAUGUAAAGUGCACAAAAAAUUGAAGUCUGCAAAUGAUGCAAAACAACAGACAUUAGUUCGUAAAAAGGGUAAAGGUAAAGAUGAUGGCACUGCUAAGGUUAUACACGUAGGAUUUAAUAGAGAGACUUGUAGAGUGACACUUGUGAAAAUAAUAAUCAAAUAUGAGUUGCCUUUUAGAUUUCUAAAGGCUAAAAGGGUUUUUGGAGUUCAUGGAAACUUGUUGUGCGAAGUUUGAGGUACCAUCUCGAAGAACAAUUACAAGGGAUAUUCUUAAAUUGUAUCAAAAUCAAAAGGGGCUGCUGAAAAGUGUUUUGAGUGUAAAUAAACAGAGAGUGUGUAUUACCACCGACACAUGGACUUCAAUUCAAAUGUCAAACUUUAUGGUAGUUACGGCUCACUUUAUUGAUGAAGAGUGGGUUUUGCAUAAGAGGAUUCUCACUUUUACACCUAUAUCUAAUCAUAAAAGAGAUGGCAUUGGGAAGCUAAUUAAAAAUUGUUUGAUUGAUUAGGGGAUUGAGAAAUUGUUCACAAUUACAGUGGAUAAUGCAAGUGUUAAUACACUUGCAAUAUCUUAUGUGACAAUAAAGUUGGCAAAUUGGUGUGGAAUUUCAAUGGUUUUGAAUGGUUUAUAUAUGUAUGUGAAGUGUUCGGCACAUAUAAUCAACUUAAUUGUGCAAGAUGGGUUGUCACAAGUGAAUCAAUCAAUAGCUAGUAUCCGAAUGCAGUGAAAUAUGUUAGAUCCUCCCCGACAAGAUUACAAAAGUUCAAAACAUGUGUUGAUAGGGAGAAAAUCUCAUGUGGAGGGCUUAUGGAGUUAGACGUUCCAACUUUGUGGAAUUCAACAUAUUUGAUGUUAAAAAAAGCGAUAACAUUUGAGAAAGCAUUUGAUAGAUUAAAGGAAGAGGAUGACCAUUAUACAAACUGGUUUGAUGAGGAUGAGAGUGAAAAAAUGAGGGUGGGGCCACCGACUGAUGAGGAUUGGGAAAAUGCAAAGAGGUUAGUCAAGUGUCUUUUAGUUUUUUAUCAUGUGACUUUAAAAUUUAUGAGCUCUUUAAUAAUCACUUCCAAUAAUUACUUGAAUGAAAUGUGGAAAGUUAUAUUCAUAUGAAGUCACUUGUUGAUUCUAAUGAUUUUUUGUUAAAUCAAAUGAGUUACGAGAUGGAGGAAAAGUUUGUCAAAUAUUGGGGUCAUUCUUUUGAAAAGGUUUAACAUGUUGUUGAUUGUGGCAAAUGUGUUUGAUCCUCGCUGUAAACUUGACUUUGUUAUAUGGUGUUUUAGUAGCUUGUAUGAUAUUAGAAAGGUUGAUGAAUUGAGAGUUAACAUUAAAGAGUAGUUGUUGAAGCUUUUUGAAAGCUAUGGUGGUGAAAGUAAUCCAAACAAAGGUGAGAGAAGUAGUGCUGCUAUACAUGACGGUGCUACUAGUAGUUAUAGGUCAUUUGAUCAUUUUACACAAUUUAGAAAGUAGAAAGAAAGUUCAAAUGAUGACAUUAGUGGAAAAAAUGAUGUUGAAAAAUACUUGUCAGAGACUUAUGAGAGUGCUAGUAAUUCUCAUUUUGAUAUUUUGACUUGGUGGAAAUUGAAUGGGCCUCAGUAUCCGAUUUUGUCUCAAAUUGCCAAAGAUGUUUUGGUAAUUCCGGUGUCUACUAUGACUUCUGAAUCAACAUUUAGCACAAGAGCGCACAUUCUUGAUCUUUUUAGAAGUUCUUUAACUCAUAAAACAGUCGAGUCAUUAAUCUACACUCAAAAUUGACUUUUCUCAACUCUAUUAGGAGAGCGUACAAUACAAUCAAGUCAGAAAGAAGCUGAAUUCUAUGAAUUAGUUGAAACAAGUAAUAUUGUAAAUUUAUUAUGUUUUUUUUGUGAUUUCACUUUUAACAUUUUGUACAUUAGAAUUAAUGAUUUUAAUAUAAUUGUUUCAAUUUCUUGAAGAAUUUUUUAGGCCAACGCAAUCUCAACAACAAGUAGCUGGAGGAGCAAAUGAUAGUUGAUUGAUGUUGCUGACCUGUAAGUGUUCUUUAUUUUUUUUUUUAAACUAGUAUCUUAUUUUAUAUAGAUUGUUUAUUUAAUUACUUAUCGUUUUAAAUUUUUUUAAUAGAUCCAAAUAUUGAGUUGGAAAAUGCCUAAAGUUGAUACUGAUAUUGAUGAAGAUGGGAGAAUAUUAUUGGCGUUUGUUUGCAAAUUUUUUUUUUUUUGUGAAAAUGAGAGAAUGUUCUUGGUGUUUGUUUGCAAAUUUUCUUUUUAUUUUGUGUUGUAAGUUGUAACUGUUGUUAUUUUUAUUUGUCUUUACAAUAUUAUGUUUAUAUAGAUGGAGUAUCGAAAUUUGGUUAUGUAUUUUAAAAUCUUAAUAUUUUAUAUUUUGUGAGUAUUUUAUUAGUAAUUAGUAAGAUAUUAGUGAUAAAAUGUAUUUUGAAUACUUUGUAUUUAUUGUUAAUAUUUGUAAUGAAAUUAGGAUGAAAUAAUUGUUGAAAAAAAUUAUUACAUUCAUGAGGACCAAUGGGCUAAAAAUUUAAAAAUUCAAAAUAAGCCCAAUAGGCUGAACAAAAAAAACGAAUCGAACAAAACUAAUUUGAAAAGAUCCAUUUAUGUUCGGUUUUUUAUUGAGUUCGGUUCUUAUUUAGUUUUUUUUAUAAAAUAACCGAUUUAAAUCAGUUAUGUUUAAUUUCGAUCCAAACCAAAUCGUGCCCACCCCUAACGAAAGAUAAAUCCCUCUUAUAGAGCAGACGAAAAUGCUGCUUUAUUACAAAGGCUUGUGGGCUUUUUGCCUCUUACUCGUCAGUUUUAGUAUUAAUUAGAUGCAUUAAUGAAGGGCUGAUUUGAUUAUAUCAGUCAUUGGUCAGCAUAUUAUAUUUUGAUAGAAAUUUAAUUAGUUCCCAAACAAUUGGUCUACUCAACACUGAGUAGUAGGAUCAGGAUCCUCUCCUGAUCUGAUUUUAUUCUGAGCAAAUUCUAUUAAUGUAAUUGGUGGUUAAAAAAUUGAAAAGAAAAAAUAGUUAAAUCAUAAUCAUACACUAACACUAAAAGAUCAAUGGCACAAGAUCGGUAAAAGAUCAGGAGUACUCAGAUAAGGAGAGAAUCUUAAUCCUUGAGUAAGAUCGUAUCAAUAAACUGAUUCACAUGUCAGUAUCACAUAUUUUGAAGUUGAAAUAUAGAAUAUAAUGUAUGUUAAAUGUCCGAUGCUAUGCCUUUUGCAUAAUGAUGGUCUCCAUUUGUUCUUCGUGACAAAUAUAUAAAACUUUGAAUUUGGUAUUAGUUAAAGAAAACUCUUUAAUCAUUUGCUUGGUCCGCUGGAUGGUGAUGAAUAUUGAACAUAUGUACUAGAAUUAGCGCGUGUUCAAUGACAAAAGUGAUGAAGUCGAUGAGUAAGGGCAAAUCUUCAGAUUGAUUUAAAAUGAAUUGAUUAUGAGCCAGCGUUUCUUUUCAUUUCGUGCGAGUUUUUUUUUUUUUUUUCUACUGGUUUGUUUAUAUUUUUUAAAUUAAUUUUAGAUUAAGUAUUUUUGUUUCAAGCAAAGCUGUCUAUCCAUAUAUAAAUUUCAUUUUGCUAUAUUCCAUAUGCAAAUUACCAAACUUUCUGUUUGGAUCCUGAGAAAACUAAUGGAAAAAGCAAGUAAUGGUAAGAUUGUCAGAUCUUUAAAAUCUUAAUAAACUUCAAGAUCUUUAAUUGUUAUCCAUUAUGUCUUACGCUUGGUUAAGAUUUUUUUUUUUUUUCAAAUGACCGCAGAAGCUUGUUUGUUGAAAAUGGGUAAAUGUCUUGAACAAAGUUGAUGAUGGUCGUUUCAUGUAAACUUUUGUUUUUCUUUUUCUUGUUGAGCCUAAUAUCUUCAUGUACAGAUUCUUUUAGUUAACUUGAAAAUGACUGAAAAUGUGGAUAAGGAAAGAGAAUGAUUUCAAGGAGAAUGAUAAUGUGAACCAAGAAAAUGAAAUUUUUAGAAAAAAAUCAGCCUUUCAUUGAGUAUUUGUAAGUGUUCUUACAGUAAAAAUUAUAUAUUUGAUUGUUGGUAAAUUUGUGAAAAUUUGGAGGAUCCAAGGGUACAAGCUUUGUCUUCUGUGGACUUCCCUAUUAUUGAUCGACGGUGAAGUUCAGUUAAAAUCAAAUUUCGCAAUAUUUCAACAUUUCUUUUCUCUUACACGAUAUAAAAUUACUUUGUUUUCUACAAUUUAAUUUUACUAAUUGUAAGAAGUUACCUGUUCGAAAGAGAAAUGUACUUAGCUUAAAGAAUGUAGAACUAAGAAUUGGAUGAUAAGGUGCAGAAACCAUGAACUAGAAGGUUAAAAAAGAUGGCAAUUAAAGAAAUAUCUGCUAGCAUCAUGAUUGUUUGCUCCAAUCAUGUCAAAACAAAAUCCAAGCUCUAGAAUAAGAAAGUCCAAAUAGGCGGACCCUUUUCCAAGUCAAAAAAUAAAGUUCAUGAUUCCAUUAAAAAAAUUCCUAAACAUAAUUUCAUUUUAUAUUUCAGUUUCCCAGUGCGAAAGAUAUUAAAUAUAAGAUUAGAAACCAUAGCUUUUACUGGAGAUAUUUUGGAUAUUCAUACAUAAUAACUGUUUAUCUCCAAUGAAAAUGAAGUCAAAAGGAAUUUAAUUUCAAACUGUAAUAACGGAAUAUUAACAUCCGGCUAAGAAAACAAUUUUUUUUAAAUAAAAAAAUUAACAUAUCUAUAGCAGUUCUAUUACAGCUAUAAAUUAGUAAUGAAUUAGUGAUCUUGCAACUUAAACAAGACACAAACUCCCGGCUAUCCUUUGAUUCCAAUCAAAUGAUUCACUCCAACUAGCUAAUAUAAUGCACUGACAAAUUAAAAAAGUAAAGGCUUCAAGGUGAUACCUCGGAAGGAUCAAGCAUUAGCAUUUUCUCUAACAGCUCUAGAGCAUUUUCAUGAUGAAAAAAAAAAAAUAUAUAUAUAUAUAUAUAUAUAUUCAACAACAAUAGACAUGAACAGAAAAUCUUAAAAUUAGUCAACAACAAUGGACAUGAACACAAAAUCUUCUUUACUUACUGUCUGAAAACCUCCUAGACAUGUCUCUUCAUGGUCCUUGAGGGCUUAAAAUGGUUAUAUGAAGAGGAUGGAUAACACCCAUAUAACUGCUACACCUGCCAUAUAGUGACAAGUUGGGAAUACUAGUAGUUCUUUAUACUCUUGGCCCAAAAGAUAUAAAAUAUUAGAUAUGCUUAUUCAAUUUUUAACACAAGAUGCCAACAGGGUUGGAUAUCAGUUGGAGAAGUUUUUAUACUCUAAAAUAAGGUUCAUUUGUCAUAAAUAGUGAGGCCAAUCAACAUGCACCUCACUGGCCAAAAUUGGGCAGCACCAGGUUGUAUAAAAUAGUCAUUGAGGGGAUUUUCCAUCCAAAAAAAAGGGGUAAAUAAACUAGAAUAAGAUAAACUAUAUGAAAGACCACUGAUAAUUAACCAAAAACCUGAAAAGAAAUGAAAAAAGAAAUAAGAGAUAGAUAUUUUAAGAUAUUGAUCCAGCUUGGCAGCAGUUGAGCAUAAGCAAGAAAGUCAUACAACUAUUUCAAUAUACUUGAGAUCCUAAGAAAGUUGACCCGAACUGACAUAACAUGGUAAUAUUUAAGGCGUCAUUGGGCCCCUGGGUGCAAUAUAUCAAUAUCUGAAUUACAAUUAAAUGCUUAACAAGUGUAACUAGUUGCUUAAACUCAACUCACUGGGGACAGCUGAAAAUCACACGAAAAUGUUCCAAUGUUGACUACUCAUGGCACCAACUAACAGAUCAUUUAAUGCAGCUAUUAAUAAAACCAUCAAAAUGGUUGUUGAAUCAAAGUAUGGGCUUAAAAAGUAGGGAAAAGUAGUGAGCGAGCACCCAUUCUAAAUGCCAUAGACGAAAAAAGUAUGUUGUUUCACUCAAAUUUCAAUAACUCACAACUAACCUGCAAAUUAACUAAGUUAAUUUGACUCGUUAAGAAAUAGAGUUGACUCAUAAUAAAACCUCAAUCUGAAUCUAAUAGUUUAUUAUCUCAAAGUCAUGACUUUUCAUAGCCAAGUUGACUCAUAAUAGACAAGGACAGAACAAUUACAAACUACGGACAUUUAUUCACAAUCAAAUAUAUACUACUACUGAAAAAGUUCACUAUAACAAUUAGAAAAAAAUAGUAAAAUAAUACUCCUAUUACUAGAUCACUGCUCAAUAGAAGCAGCCAAGUACAUUUCUUAAAUCUAAAAAUACAAAUUAUGAAAACAAGCAAAAAGGAAUAUAAAACAAUAUGAAAAUACCUUAAAGAACCGAGAAGUUAUCAAUAUUCAAAUAUAGGAAUCAAACGCUCGUUGGAUUCUAAUGCAACUUCACCAUAAAGUUAAGUAGCUCACACCAGUUUUAUAGCAGAAUCAGGGCAAAGCCACACAGACUAAGUGCUAAUUGCACCCACAUAAAACAAAUAGAUGAAGAUAGACAUGUUAAUAGUUCCAAAAUUUUCUUUCUAAAUCAUCGCCAAAGAAAUUAUCGAGAAUACCGCCCCUAUUCUGAAUCUAAACAUGAAAUAGUGUCCUUAUUUGAAACCAUAUUCAUUGAUAAACAUUAUAGAAAUGAACAACCAAAGGAAGACAUUUCUUGUCCAGUAAAAAAACUCCAACUCUUUAACGCACAUGGAUUCAUUUCUAACCAAUAAGACACCCUCUUUUUAUAAGAGUAAAUACACUAAUCUUUAUGUUAUAUCCCUAAUUGAUAUCACAUUGCAUUAAUUUUAACGAAAAGUUAAAAUUUUAAAAGUAGUAACAAUUUAAUCAAAAUAAUAAAAUCAAUGAUUAACAAAUAAACACAAUUGAGCACCAAAGGCUCAUCCGUAAAAACCAACCAAGUCCUGAUUUUAGCCAUCAUUUAUAGAGAAAAAAACCAAAAAAGGAAUAAAAAUAUAAAAUAAAAUAAAAUAGAGCAAACUAGAUUUACCAUCAAUAAGCUCGUUUCUGUCGGUUGGUUAGCGGAUUUUUAAUGGUAGAUCUUGCCAAAGACGAGAAGAGCGGUGAUGAAACCGACGCCGCAGAGGCUCAUGUGGAGGAUGACUAUGUGCUAGAUCUUCAGCACGGGAGUAUCAUCGAUGUGGAAUCAGAGCAUGUUGGAGCCAGCUCCCGAGCCACAACCGAGCCAGAGCGGCUCAGCCUUGGGGAGCCAUAACGCUGGGAUGGGGGUUGGCUGAGGAGGUAGAGGAUUGCGAUAAGCCUCAGGCAUUUUGUUUGUUGUGAGAGGAUAACAAAUUAAAGGAGAUUUUUUCUGUUUGUUUUUAUUGAAUGUUGAGAUGUGACAUAGAAGAGUGAAGAGAGGUUUCGGGUCAAAGUAUAAAUAAGAGAUUUUAUCGGCUACAAGCAGUGAUGGCAGCUAUGAGUGAUUCUUCUUCUUCAGCAGUGACAGUGGCUAUAAGGGUUAGGGCUGAUAGAUCGAGACGGGGACUAAGAGCGACAGUAACUAUGAAUGAUGGUGGCUGUGAUUGGUCAAUUGAGUCAGAGUGGCUAUGAAAGUUCCUUAGUGAUUAAGAGUGGGCUGUAAAGGGCAGAGGGUUCAAUCAUCUGUGAGCGAGAGGGGUUGUUCAUUCGCUGAACAUACGAAAUGCUUAAAAAAAUUUUUGAGUGUUGAAAGUUUGUGCCUUUUAAACCAUAAUGCUUGAAGGACACUACUUAAGGUUUUUUUU